rnacentral:rRNA from 1 species
UCCACGCAGUAAACGAUGAAUGUUAGUCGUUGGGUCUCUAGUAGAUUCAGUGAUGCAGUUAACACAUUAAACAUUCCGCCUGGGGAGUACGGUCGCAAGAUUAAAACUCAAAGGAAUAGACGGGGACCCGCACAAGUGGUGGAGCAUGUGGUUUAAUUCGAAGAUACGCGAAGAACCUUACCUAGCCUUGACAUUGAAGAAACACACUAGAGAUAGAGUGGUACCCUUCGGGG